rnacentral:rRNA from 1 species
ACUACGGGUGGCAGCAGUGAGGAAUAUUGGUCAAUGGCCGGAAGGCUGAACCAGCCAAGUCGCGUGAGGGACGACUGCCCUAUGGGUUGUAAACCUCUUUUAUAAGGGAAGAAUAAAUGCUACGUGUAGCAUUAUGCCUGUACCUUAUGAAUAAGCAUCGGCUAACUCCGUGCCAGCAGCCGCGGUAAUACGGAGGAUGCGAGCGUUAUCCGGAUUUAUUGGGUUUAAAGGGUGCGUAGGCGGUUUUUUAAGUUAGUGGUUAAACGUCGGGGCUUCACCUUGAUUUGCCAUUAAUACUGUAAGACUCGAGUUCAGACGAGGUAGGCGGAAUAAGUUAAGUAGCGGUGAAAUGCUUAGAUAUCACUUAGAACUCCGAUAGCGAAGGCAGCUUACCAGACUGCGACUGACGCUGAAGCACGAGAGCGUGGGUAGCGAACAGGAUUAGAUACCCUUGUAGUC